UACGUAGGGUGCAAGCGUUGUCCGGAAUUAUUGGGCGUAAAGAGCUCGUAGGCGGUCUGUCACGUCGGACGUGAAAAUCCAGGGCUCAACCCUGGACCUGCGUUCGAUACGGGCAGACUAGAGUUCGGUAGGGGAGACUGGAAUUCCUGGUGUAGCGGUGAAAUGCGCAGAUAUCGGGAGGAACACCAGUGGCGAAGGCGGCGACCUGGACGGAUACUGACGCUGAGGUGCGAAAGCGUGGGGAGCAAACAGG
rnacentral:rRNA from 1 species